GACGAACGCUGGCGGCGUGCUUAACACAUGCAAGUCGAACGAAGUGGCGAACGGGUGAGUAACGAGUAAUCAACCUGCCCUUCAGAGGGGGACAACAGUGGGAAACGACUGCUAAUACCGCAUAAUGAAGGAGGGGAUUGCGUCUGAUUAGCUCGGUGGGGGGGUAACGGCCCACCAAGGCGAUGAUCAGUAGCCGUUCUGAGAGUAUGACCGGCCACAUUGGGACUGCGACACGGCCCAGACGCCGUCGGGAGGCAGCAGUGGGGAAUCUUCCGCAAUGUACGAAAGUCUGACUGAGCAACGCCGCGUGAGUGAUGACGGCCUUCGGGUUGUAAAGCUCUGUUAAUCGGGACGCGGUACCGGAAUAGAAAGCCACGGCUAACUACGUGCCAGCAGCCGCGGUAAUAC
rnacentral:rRNA from 1 species